CGGACGGGUGAGUAAUGUCUGGGAAACUGCCUGAUGGAGGGGGGUAACUACUGGAAACGGUAGCUAAUUCCGCAUAACGUCGCAAGACCAAAGAGGGGGACCUUCGGGCCUCUUGCCAUCGGAUGUGCCCAGAUGGGAUUAGCUAGUAGGUGGGGUAAAGGCUCACCUAGGCGACGAUCCCUAGCUGGUCUGAGAGGAUGACCAGCCACACUGGAACUGAGACACGGUCCAG
rnacentral:rRNA from 1 species